rnacentral:rRNA from 1 species
GAUGAACGCUGGCGGCGUGCCUAAUACAUGCAAGUCGAGCGAACAGACGAGGAGCUUGCUCCUCUGACGUUAGCGGCGGACGGGUGAGUAACACGUGGAUAACCUACCUAUAAGACUGGGAUAACUUCGGGAAACCGGAGCUAAUACCGGAUAAUAUAUUGAACCGCAUGGUUCAAUAGUGAAAGACGGUUUUGCUGUCACUUAUAGAUGGAUCCGCGCCGCAUUAGCUAGUUGGUAAGGUAACGGCUUACCAAGGCAACGAUGCGUAGCCGACCUGAGAGGAUGAUCGGCCACACUGGAACUGAGACACGGUCCAGACUCCUACGGGAGGCAGCAGUAGGGAAUCUUCCGCAAUGGGCGAAAGCCUGACGGAGCAACGCCGCGUGAGUGAUGAAGGUCUUCGGAUCGUAAAACUCUGUUAUUAGGGAAGAACAAAUGUGUAAGUAACUAUGCACGUCUUGACGGUACCUAAUCAGAAAGCCACGGCUAACCACGUG